CGGGGUGCAGCAGGCGCGAAAACUCUACAAUGCAGGCAACUGCGAUAGGGGAACAUCGAGUGAUACUCAUCUUGGGUGUCUGUCCUCCCGUCUAAAAAACGGGAGUUAGCAAGGGCCGGGCAAGACCGGUGCCAGCCGCCGCGGUAAUACCGGCGGCUCGAGUGGUGGCCGAUAUUAUUGAGUCUAAAGGGUCCGUAGCCGGCUUUGCAAGUCUUUUGGGAAAUCCAGCGGCUUAACCGUUGGUCGUCCGGGAGAUACUACAUUGCUUGGGACUGGGAGAGGUAGGAGGUACUCAGGGGGUAGGAGUGAAAUCCUGUAAUCCUUUGGGGACCACCGGUGGCGAAGGCGUCCUACCAGAACAGGUCCGACGGUGAGGGACGAAAGCUAGGGGCACGAACCGGAUUAGAUACCCGGGUAGUCCUAGCCGUAAACGAUGCUCGCUAGGUGUCACAACAAUCGUGAAUUGUUGUGGUGCCGUAGGGAAGCCGUGAAGCGAGCCACUUGGGAAGUACGACCGCAAGGUUGAAACUUAAAGGAAUUGGCGGGGGAGCACAAGGGCGAAUGCG
rnacentral:rRNA from 1 species